UUGAAAACACUGGCAGUACAAUAGACUUAAGGGCUAUUUUUCAAUUCUAUACGAAAUCAAGCAUUGUUGCUGCUGCUGUUGUUGUUGUAGUAGUCGUCGACAUCAUUAUCAUCAUCAGCAUUCUCAUAAUCAGCUGUGUAGUCGACUUCAUUCUUUUCGAAAUGUCGACGUUUAUAAUCACAACCAGACGAACUAAGUAUUAUGAGGCAAAACGUUAAAUUGACCCUAAAUGUUGGCAAUUUAGAAGGUGGUAAUAGUAACAAUAUUAAACUCAAUUGGCUAAGGUUAGUUAAGUGCAAAUAUAUCAAAACACACAAACAGCAGCAAAUGCCAAAAAGGAAUAAAACUUUUCUAGUGAAAUUAUAACGAUAAUAACGACAAGUGUUCAUAAACACCGAAAGAAAAAAAAAAAAAAAAAAAAAAAA